CCGGGGCUCUUCCCUGCGGCGCAGUGCAGUAUUGGGGCCGCGGUUCGGGAGCCCCCAUGUGCGACUCCAGGUCCUUCCCCGAUUCUAAGUCAGGCUUUUCCUGUCUCCUGCCUCUGAGUCCUGGGGGCCCGGACCCUCAGUGACCGUAGAGUAAUGGGUCACCAGAAUCCGGGGCCUGCCUGAAUCUAAGACAUGGUGUGGCGCUCCUCCACAGACAGCUCUUCCCCACUUCACAGUCCCUGGGUAAUUAAAGUCUCCGUAGUGACCCCUAUCUGGAUUGCUUUAAUUCUCCCAUAAAUUUACUACUACGCUAACGACGCUCAUUCAUUCAACACACAUCAAAGGGGUUACCGAUCAGGGAGCUGUCCAGGCUAAUGCGCCCCCAAGUCUCCCAAACACAGCUGCGGAACCGCCGGGUUAGUGAGCCCGCGCUGUCAGAAAGACUCCCAAAGACUGCUGCAAGUGAGGAACGCUUUCGGGCUCGUGCCAGGAGUUCCCGGUCCUGGAAGAAUGACUGGGAGUUGAAAGGUUCCACUCCAGGCCGGGACUUCAUUGUGCGUUUGCAUCCAUUAAGCCAGGGAUCUUCCUGAGACCCACUGCCUCAGCCCCAACAACUCGGCUGUGAAAACACUUUGUCAAUUUUAGCUGCAGGGUGGAAGUCGCUCCAUGAAAAUAAAGCAUUUAUGGAGUUACACUGGCGAUUUCUGAAUCCCUGGAAAUCCUCUCAAGCCGGUGGGUUGAGGCUGUUCUCUCCGUGUAAAUGUGCGCAGUAGAAAUAAAUGGCUUGUUUGCUGAUCAGUCCACAGCAGAAAACAAAACAAAACAAGACAAAACCUUAAAGAAAGGAACUCGGAAGGUUUGGCAUCUGAAGAUGAUUUUGGAUAACAGUGUGUCUGGCACAGAUGACCUAAAAUACCAUGUUCUCAAUUCCCCCAUCCUGAGCAGUCUCCAGCAAAAUGUCAUUGAAUCCAACCAUAGCAUCACUUCAUGACUCACAGGCAGCGCUUGUUUUUCCAUUUUCUGCAUGAUCUUGACCACCGUAAGAGCAUUAAUGGAUUCCUCCUUUAUCAAUAAGAGCUCUUUGACAUUUGUGUGCACAAGGAACCGUACCACGUCUUCUUUUAAAAUGCGAAUCAGACAAUUCAUUUCUUAGCCAGAAGACUGAUGAGUUUAUACUAGCAAGAAAAGGACAUGUCUCAGGAGGAUUCUGGGUAGAAUUAAAAGAGCAUUAAUCACAAGACUGAGGUGCCAGUCUGAACUCACCACUUCCUGGCUGCAUGACCUUGGGCAAGUUGCUUAACUUGGCUGAAUCCAAGAUUUUUUCACAUAUAAAAUAUGUUGUAAUCCUCUCCACCACCCUGUAAGAUUGUUAUUGAUACAAUGUAUGUGGAAUCAUUUUGUACAUGAGAUUUAUUAUAUGUUACUUAUUUAAAAACUAUCAUUUUCAACCUGGAAAAUGAGUUUAUAAAUGAAGAUUCUAUGCUAUUUUGUGACAUUUCUGGCGCAUAAGUGGUGAAAUAAAACUUUCACUCACUGCUUCCUUAUCAGCCAAAAAUGUAUCUCGACCUCUUCCAUGUCACUUAGCACUUGCUAUGUAUUAUUAGUUAUUUGCAUAGAUCUCCAAUCUCCCCUGCUAGACUCUAAGUGCCCGAAGUUAAAGCUAUGUCACAUCCGUGAUCUCUACAGGGUGCCUGGAACAAUAUCUUAAUAAAUUGUUGAUAUUCAAUAAUUAUUUGUUGACUAAAAAGUAAGUGAAAAGAAAAAUUUAUAAGUUGGACCCCAUCAUAAUUUAAAAUGUUUGUUUUGUGAAAGACCCUAUUAAGAAGACAAAAAGACAAAUGACAUUCUGGAAGAAAAUAUUUUCAUAUCAUGUAACUGACAAAGGACUUGUAUUUCCAAUACACAUGGAACUCUUUUUUAACUUUUAAGCUCAGGGGUACACGUUUGUUAUAUAGAUAAACUUGUGUGAUGGGGGUUUGUUAUACAGAUUACUUCAUCACCCAGCUAUUAAACCUAGUACCCAUUAGUUAUUUUUCCUGAUCCUUUUCUUCCUCCCCUCUCUACCCUCCAGUAGGCCCCAGUGUAUGUGGUCCCCCUCUCUUUGUCCAUGUCUCCCCAUCAUUUAGCUUCCACUUAUGAGAACAUGCAGUACUUGGUUUUCUGUUCCUACAUCGAUUUGCUAAGGAUAAUGACCUCCAGCUCCAUCCAUGUUCCUGCAAAAGACAUAAUCUCUUUUUCAUGGCUGCAUAGUAUUCCACGGUAUAUAUGUACCACAUUUUCUUUAUCCAGUCCAUCACUGAUGGACAUUUAGGUUGAUUCCAUGUUUUGGCUAUUGUGAAUAGUGUUGCAAUGAACAUAUGAGUGCAUGUGUCUUUAUGAUAGAACAAUUUAUAUCCCUUGGGGUAUGCACCCAGUAAUGGAAUUGCUGGGUUGAAUGGUAUUUCUGGUUUUAAUUCUUUCAGGAAUUGCUGCACCAUCUUUCACAAUAGUUGAACUAAUUUACACUCCCAACAGUGUACAAGCAUUCCACAUAGGAAGUCUUAACAUUCAACAGGAAACAAACCAAUUAGAAAAUGGGAGAAAAAUGAAGAGAUACUCCACCCAAUCAAUCCAAUUAGAAAAUAUAGGAAAAAAAUGAAGAGAUAUUUCACCAAAUAUUGCUGGGAAAUAAGCACAUGAAAAGAUGUUCACUAUCAUUAGCCAUUAAGUAAAUCCAAAUCAGAGUUAUAAUGAGAUAUCAAUACACACCCACCUACCAAAAUGUGUAAAAAAAAAAACAGUGACAACACCAAAUGCUGGCAAGGAGGCAGAGAAAUUGUGUCAUUUAUACAUUGCUGGUGGGAAGGUAAAAUGAUGCAACCACUCCAGCAUAUAGUUUCACCAUUUCUUUUAAAACUAAGAUCAGACUAACCAUACAAUCCAGCAAUUGAACCCUUGGACAUCUAUCCUAGAGAAAUGAAAACUUCUAUUCAUGCAGAAGUUUGCACAAGAAUGUUCAUAGCAGCUUUAUUCAUAAUGGAAAAACUAGAAACUACACAAAAGUAAAUAGUUAAACUGAGGAAUCUCCAUACUGUGGAAUACUACUCACAUAUAAGACAAACUAUUGAUAAUACAACAACUUGGAUGGAUCUUAAGGGCAUCGUGCUGUAUUUUCAACAGGCAAACUAAGAAGCCUAUAUGCUAUCUCGUUCCAUUUAUAUAACAUUCUUGAAAUAAUGACAUUAUGGAGAUGGAAAGCAGACUAGUGGUUACCAGGUAUUGGGUAUGGGGGUGGGUGGAACAAGAAGCAGGUAUGCCUAUAAAAGACUAGACCGAGAGGUCCUGUGGUAAUGUGUCCAGAAUUGGUUCCUUCCGGUGGGUUCUUGGUCUCACUGACUUCAAGAAUGAAGCCGCCGACCCUCGCAGUGAGUGUUACAGCUCUUAAAGAAGGUGUGUCCGGAGUUUAUUCCUUCAGAUGUGUCCAGAGUUUCUUCCUUCUGGUGGGUUCAUGGUAUCGCUUGACUUCAGAAGUGAAGCUGCAAACCUUCACAGGGAGUGUUACAGUUCAUA
rnacentral:lncRNA from 10 species